rnacentral:rRNA from 1 species
GUAGGGAAUCUUCCACAAUGGACGCAAGUCUGAUGGAGCAACGCCGCGUGAGUGAAGAAGGUUUUCGGAUCGUAAAGCUCUGUUGUUGGUGAAGAAGGGUAGAGGCAGUAACUGGUCUUUAUUUGACGGUAAUCAACCAGAAAGUCACGGCUAACUACGUGCCAGCAGCCGCGGUAAUACGUAGGUGGCAAGCGUUGUCCGGAUUUAUUGGGCGUAAAGCGAGCGCAGGCGGAAUGAUAAGUCUGAUGUGAAAGCCCACGGCUCAACCGUGGAACUGCAUCGGAAACUGUCAUUCUUGAGUGCAGAAGAGGAGAGUGGAACUCCAUGUGUAGCGGUGGAAUGCGUAGAUAUAUGGAAGAACACCAGUGGCGAAGGCGGCUCUCUGGUCUGCAACUGACGCUGAGGCUCGAAAGCAUGGGUAGCGAACAGGAUUAGAAACCCCAGUAGUCC